rnacentral:rRNA from 1 species
AUUGAACGCUGGCGGCAGGCCUAACACAUGCAAGUCGAACGGUAGCACAGAGAGCUUGCUCUUGGGUGACGAGUGGCGGACGGGUGAGUAAUGUCUGGGGAACUGCCCGAUGGAGGGGGAUAACUACUGGAAACGGUAGCUAAUACCGCAUAACGUCUUCGGACCAAAGUGGGGGACCUUCGGGCCUCACACCAUCGGAUGUGCCCAGAUGGGAUUAGCUAGUAGGUGGGGUAAUGGCUCACCUAGGCGACGAUCCCUAGCUGUUCUGAGCGGAAGACCAGCCACACUGGAACUGAGACACGGUCCAGAAUCGUACGGGAGGCAGCAGUGGGGAAUAUUGCACAAUGGGCGCAAGCCUGAUGCAGCCAUGCCGCGUGUAUGAAGAAGGCCUUCGGGUUGUAAAGUACUUUCAGCGGGGAGGAAGGCGAUGGAGUUAAUAGCUUCAUCGAUUGACGUUACCCGCAGAAGAAGCACCGGCUAACUCCGUGCCAGCCGCCGCCGUAA